AUUUUCUCGAAACGUUUUCGGUCAAUAUACGACAAUUCGACGAAUGUCAUAAUAUUCUCAAUAAAAUUCAUAUCAAAUAUACUACGAUUGACGGUAAAUAUACUACCGUACAGCCCGAAUAUAACUUCAAAAGUGUAAACGACCAAAAAAAUAUCGAAAGAUAUGCGGAAAAUAUACAAAAUUCCGAGGACACU
rfam:Chrysodeixis chalcites nucleopolyhedrovirus, complete genome.